GCCUAGCUGAUUGACAUCCUAUUUGGUGGAGCAAUUCUUUGUGCACUGCAUAUGGUACAGAAAAUUGUGCAUCGUGCAUGAUGAUUCGCUCUCGUGCGUGCGGACUUGGAGAUAUCAGCAAAAAAUUUGCCGACUCUAUGCGGGACUGAAAUGCGUGGUUUCUGUACUGUAUGUGGUGCACAAAGAAGUUCGCUUAAAGUCCAAUAAAUGUGAGGCCAA
rnacentral:lncRNA from 1 species